rnacentral:rRNA from 1 species
ACGAACGCUGGCGGCAUGCCUAACACAUGCAAGUCGAACGAGACCUUCGGGUCUAGUGGCGCACGGGUGCGUCACGCGUGGGAACCUGCCCUUAGGUUCGGAAUAACUCCCCGAAAGGGGUGCUAAUACCGGAUAAUGUCUUCGGACCAAAGAUUUAUCGCCUUUGGAUGGGCCCGCGUUGGAUUAGCUAGUUGGUAGGGUAAAAGCCUACCAAGGCGACGAUCCAUAGCUGGUCUGAGAGGAUGAUCAGCCACACUGGGACUGAGACACGGCCCAGACUCCUACGGGAGGCAGCAGUGGGGAAUAUUGGACAAUGGGCGAAAGCCUGAUCCAGCAAUGCCGCGUGAGUGAUGAAGGCCUUAGGGUUGUAAAGCUCUUCUACCCGGGAUGAUAAUGACAGUACCGGGAGAAUAAGCUCCGGCUAACUCCGUG